rnacentral:rRNA from 1 species
CCCUUAGAUGUUCUGGGCCGCACGCGUGCUACACUGAGUAAUUCAAUGGGUAAGGGAACGCUAGAGCAUUACCUAAUCUUGAAAUUUGCUCGUGAUGGGGAUCGACGGUUGCAACUUUCCGUCGUGAACGAGGAAUACCUUGUAGGCGCAUGUCAUCAUCAUGCGCCGAAUACGUCCCUGCCCUUUGUACACACCGCCCGUCGCUCCUACCGAUUGAGUGAUCCGGUGAGGCUCUGGGACCUGGACGGAAAGAGCGUUUCGCUUGUUCUGUUUGGGAAACUUGGUCGAACCUUAUCAUUUAGAGGAAGGAGAAGUCGUAACA